GAUGAACGCUGGCGGCGUGCCUAAUACAUGCAAGUCGAGCGAAGCGGGGACGGGUGAGUAACACGUGGAUAACCUCCUAUAAGACUGGGUAACCUUCGGGAACCCGGAGCUAAACCGAAUACUUUAGAAUGGAUCGCCGCUCCAUUAGCUAGUUGGUAAGGUAACGGCUUACCAAGGCAACGAUGCAUAGCCGACCUGAGAGGGGGAUCGGCCACACUGGAACUGAGACACGGUCCAGACUCCUACGGGAGGCAGCAGUAGGGAAUCUUCCGCAAUGGGCGAAAGCCUGACAGAGCAACGCCGCGUGAGUGAUGAAGGUCUUCGGAUCGUAAAACUCUGUUAUUAGGGAAGCGGUACCUAAUCAGAAAGCCACGGCUAACUACGUGCCAGCAGCCGCGGUAAUUC
rnacentral:rRNA from 1 species